rnacentral:rRNA from 1 species
UACAGAGGGUGCAAGCGUUAAUCGGAAUUACUGGGCGUAAAGCGUGCGUAGUCGGUUAUUUAAGUCGGAUGUGAAAUCCCCGGGCUCAGCCUGGGAAUUGCAUUCGAUACUGGAUAGCUAGAGUUCGGCAGAGGGAAGUGGAAUUUCUGGUGUAGCGGUGAAAUGCGUAGAGAUGUGGAGGAACACCGAUGGCGAAGGCAGCCUCCUGGGCCAAUACUGACGCUCAUGCACGAAAGCGUGGGGAGCAAACAGG